UUAAUGAUUUAAGCGACACUUGAUAGAAAAGAAAAAUGUCUGCAAAACAGAAGGUACUAGUUUCACAUGGUGCUGUUGUCUGUGAUGAGUGUGAAAUAGUUGGAGAUGUAACUAUUGGUGCUCGCUCAGUCAUUCAUCCCAAGGCUCGCAUCAUUGCUGAUGAUGGACCGAUUAUUAUUGGUGAAAAUAACAUCAUUGAAGAGCUAGUCACAAUUAUCAAUAGAAAUCCAGCUGGAACAGAUGCCAACACACAACAGGUGAUGAUCGUAGGAAACAAUAACGUGUUUGAAGUUGGUUGUUAUGUAGAAGCGACCAAGAUUGGUGACCACAAUGUUGUGGAAGCUAAAGCAAAAGUGGGUCGACAAGUUGGCUUAACGACAGGCUGUAUAAUCGGCUCCAUGUGUUCACUAACUAGUAACGAGAUAUUGCCGGAGAACACAGUGAUCUAUGGCGAGGAGUGUGAGAGGAGAGUACAGAGAGAAAGACCUCCAACCCAGAAUCUACAGAUAGACUUUUUGACGAAGAUACUGCCAAAUUACCACUACAUUAAGAAGACAAAAUCCAGCACUCCUCAGCGCACAUAAUCUGACCUAACUAAGGAAUCACAAAAUUGUACAUUAAAUGAUGAAUAUGAUUUUGAUAUUUAUUGAAAUUCAAAAAACUAAUUUAUUUCUAAAAAUAUUGAUAUCAUUUUCUGGUAAGUUGCAGUUUGCUAGAUAGUCGAUUCUAAAGUCAAGAACAAAUGCAACUGUUCAAAUACAUUGACACUGGUUUAUCAUACUAGCUGUUAGUUUUCAACUGUUGUGUACAUUUUUAUCAAUUCUGUGAUUCCAAUGUUUUGCAAAAUGUAUUUUUAGGUGAACAAGUGCAAUAUUCCGAUAGUCUAGGGAACUGAACAUUUCUUGGAUGAGUGGACCAUUACAUAUAUAGCUAGCUGCCAUUGGUGAUGGUUACAAACAGCAGACAGGAGAACAUGUUAUAAGGACCCCUUGGUUCAUAGUGCCACAUUCUCUUUACUGGAGGAAAUUUUUAGUAUAGUAAUUUUGCAAAUACAUGUAAUAUGAUUUUCCUCUUUGUAAUACUGUAAGACGGGAAGUUUUCACAGUGUGGAAAUAUUACCGUUUUCCUGUUAAGCAUGAAAAUAUCCAUACACAAACAUAUAUUUAUAGAUUAUAGAUUUAUAGAGUACAUGUUUAUGUAUAGAUUUAAGAACCACUGCCAACAGGAAAAAAUCCACAAAGUGAUAAUUUUAAAGAGUCAGCGUGAAUAUUUCCAGGUGUCAAAAUUUCCUCUUUUACAUCAAACUGGUCUGCAUUUUGUAUGUAUCACGAUUCUUUAUGAACUGUUUGUUUUGGUCUUAUCCAAACAUCAGUGGAAGCUUAUUCCAUGUGAAUCUUUGACUAUCUACCAGGCAUCUGAUCUGUCAGUAUUGUGUCCAUUGCCUGUUUCCCACUUAAUAAUAUAAACUUUCUUUAAGGAGCACCUGUUCGACAUAGAGGGACACUAAUCUAUUCUCACACAGGUGAUGUAGGCAGAAAAACCUGCCAGUAUAGAUUCAGUUAAACGAGACAAAUCAUAAAAUGGCUAAAUUAAAGUCUUGACAAGUGGUGCGGCAAGAAAAAAUUAGUUAGCUUGAGUAUCAAAGUUGUCUGCUAAACAGCAUUUAUUUUCUUAUUUUAUUGGAACAUUAUACAAUAUACCAAUUGAGAAGAUAUAUUUAUUGUUUGUGGUGAACAUUUCAUUCUUUAUACAUGGUAUAAUGAUAUAACUAUGAUGUUGUGUUAUUUGAUCUAUCUUUUACAAACAGUUUAAACUUUGGUGUGUCACCACUGACUAUUUGUAAAUAUUUGUUAUAUUGUUAAGCUCUUGCACCACUUUUGAGUUUCACAAAUAUUUGAAAAAUUUCAAAACAUAUAACUUAAGAUUUUAAGUUUUCUGAAUUGUCAUACCAGUUCCUUAUUUAGUACAAAAAGUUUGUGAUAUCAAAUUGCUUGUAUAGUAUAGCAUAUUCAUUUAUGUAAUAAAUCAUGCUCAUGUA